rnacentral:rRNA from 1 species
UGAAUACGAGAUGCUACGGCGUCGAAGCAGUGUAUGUCAGACUUCCAAGAAAAGCUCGCAAUGUCAUAAAUAAAGAAUGCCUGUACCAUAACCGACACAGGUGGGUAGGUAGAGUAUACUAAGGGGCGCGAGAUAACUCUCUCUAAGGAACUCGGCAAAAUAACUCCGUAACUUCGGGAGAAGGAGUGCCUUCUUUAAGAAGGUUGCAAUAACAAGAUCCAAGCAACUGUUUAUCAAAAGCACAGGUCUCCGCUAAGUCGUAAGACGAUGUAUGGGGGCUGACGCCUGCCCAGUGCCAGAAGGUUAAAGAAGUUGGUUAGCUUUUGCGAAGCUGAUGACUGAAGCCCUGGUGAACGGCGGCCGUAACGAUAACGGUCCUAAGGUAGCGAAAUUCCUUGUCGGGUAAGUUCCGACCCGCACGAAAGGCGUAAUGAUUUGGAUACUGUCUCGGAGUGGGACUCGGUGAAAUAGACUUGUCUGUGAAGAUGCGGACUACCUGCACCAGGACAGAAAGACCCUAUGAAGCUUUACUGUAACUUGAAAUUGAAAUUGGACUUUAUUUGCGCAGUAUAGGUGGAAGGCGUUGAAAGUAAUCUUGCGGGAUUAGUGGAGCCAUCAGUGAGAUACCACUCCUAUAAUGUUAGAUUUCUAACUUUGGAUCAUGAUCUGGUCAAAGAACAGUUUCAGGCGGGCAGUUUGACUGGGGCGGUCGCCUCCCAAAUGGUAACGGAGGCGUACAAAGGUUUCCUCUGAACGGGUAGAAAUCGUAUCUAGAGUGUAAAGGCAUAAGGAAGCUUGACUGUGAGACCUACAAGUCGAGCAGGGACGAAAGUCGGUCUUAGUGAUCUGACGGUGCUGAGUGGAAAGGCCGUCACUCAACGGAUAAAAGUUACUCUAAGGAUAACAGGCUGAUCUCCCCCAAGAGUUCACAUCGACGGGGAGGUUUGGCACCUCGAUGUCGGCUCAUCGCAUCCUGGGGCGGUAGUACGUCCCAAGGGUUGGGCUGUUCGCCCAUGAAAGCGGUACGCGAGCUGGGUUCAGAACGUCGUGAGACAGUUCGGUCCAUAUCCGGUGUAGGCGUUAGAAUAUUGAGAGGAGCCUUCUUUAGUACGAGAGGACCGAGAAGGACAUACCUCUGGUGUACCAGUUAUCGUGCCAACGGUAAACGCUGGGUAGCUAUGUAUGGAGAGGAUAACCGCUGAAAGCAUCUAAGUGGGAAGCCCACCUCAAGAUGAGUAUUCUCAC